rnacentral:rRNA from 1 species
ACUCCUACGGGAGGCAGCAGUAGGGAAUCUUGGACAAUGGGCGAAAGCCUGAUCCAGCCAUGCCGCGUGAGUGAUGAAGGCCUUAGGGUUGUAAAGCUCUUUCGCCAGGGAAGAUAAUGACGGUACCUGGAUAAGAAGCCCCGACUAACUUCGUGCCAGCAGCCGCGGUAAUACGAAGGGGGCUAGCGUUGUUCGGAAUUACUGGGCGUAAAGCGCACGUAGGCGGUUUUCCAAGUUGGAGGUGAAAUCCCUGGGCUCAACCCGGGAACUGCCUCCAAAACUGGAUCACUCGAGUCCGAGAGAGGUGAGUGGAAUUUCCAGUGUAGAGGUGAAAUUCGUAGAUAUUGGAAAGAACACCAGUGGCGAAGGCGGCUCACUGGCUCGGUACUGACGCUGAGGUGCGACAGCGUGGGGAGCAAACAGGAUUAGAUACCCUGGUAGUCCACGCCGUAAACGAUGGGUGCUAGUUGUCAGGCAGCUUGCUGUUUGGUGACGCAGCUAACGCAUUAAGC